rnacentral:rRNA from 1 species
UACGGAGGGUGCAAACGUUGCUCGGAAUCACUGGGCGUAAAGCGCACGUAGGCGGUCCGAUAAGUCGGAUGUGAAAGCCCUGGGCUCAACCUAGGAAGUGCAUUCGAAACUGUCGGACUUGAGUACGGGAGAGGGUUGCGGAAUUCCCGGUGUAGAGGUGAAAUUCGUAGAUAUCGGGAGGAACACCAGUGGCGAAGGCGGCAGCCCGGACCGAUACUGACGCUGAGGUGCGAAAGCGUGGGGAGCAAACAGG